rnacentral:rRNA from 1 species
GAUGAACGCUGGCGGCGUGCCUAAUACAUGCAAGUCGAGCGAACGGACGAGAAGCUUGCUUCUCUGAUGUUAGCGGCGGACGGGUGAGUAACACGUGGAUAACCUACCUAUAAGACUGGGAUAACUUCGGGAAACCGUAGCUAAUACCGGAUAAUAUUUUGAACCGCAUGGUUCAAAAGUGAAAGACGGUCUUGCUGUCACUUAUAGAUGGAUCCGCGCUGCAUUAGCUAGUUGGUAAGGUAACGGCUUACCAAGGCAACGAUGCAUAGCCGACCUGAGAGGGGGAUCGGCGACACUGGAACUGAGACACGGUCCAGACUCCUACGGGAGGCAGCAGUAGGGAAUCUUCCGCAAUGGGCGAAAGCCUGACGGAGCAACGCCGCGUGAGUGAUGAAGGUCUUCGGAUCGUAAAACUCUGUUAUGAGGGAAGAACAGAUGUGUAAGUAACUGUGCACAGCGUGACGGUACCUAAUCAGAAAGCCACGGCUAACUACGUG